GGGUGCGAUCAUACCAGCACUAAUGCACCAGAUUCUAUCAGAACUCUGUAGUUAAGCGCGCUUGGGUGAGAAUUGUACAAAUAUGGGUCUGUCAUAUGAUUUUCAUCGACACAGGCU
rnacentral:rRNA from 1 species